rnacentral:piRNA from 1 species
UGGCAUAGAAGAUUUGGGAGUAAAGU